GGAGAAGGACCACAGCUCAAGGCUAGGGCAUCUGCCUUGCAUGCUGAAGAUCCUAGGUUCAACUCCCAGCAUCUCCA